rnacentral:rRNA from 1 species
AGUGAACGCUGGCGGUAGGCCUAACACAUGCAAGUCGAACGGCAGCACAGAGGAGCUUGCUCCUUGGGUGGCGAGUGGCGGACGGGUGAGGAAUACAUCGGAAUCUACUCUGUCGUGGGGGAUAACGUAGGGAGACUUACGCUAAUACCGCAUACGACCUACGGGUGAAAGCAGGGGAUCUUCGGACCUUGCGCGAUUGAAUGAGCCGAUGUCGGAUUAGCUAGUUGGCGGGGUAAAGGCCCACCAAGGCGACGAUCCGUAGCUGGUCUGAGAGGAUGAUCAGCCACACUGGAACUGAGACACGGUCCAGACUCCUACGGGAGGCAGCAGUGGGGAAUAUUGGACAAUGGGCGCAAGCCUGAUCCAGCCAUACCGCGUGGGUGAAGAAGGCCUUCGGGUUGUAAAGCCCUUUUGUUGGGAAAGAAAUCCAUCUGGUUAAUACCCGGGUGGGAUGACGGUACCCAAAGAAUAAGCACCGGCUAACUUCGUGCCAGCCGCCGCCGCAG